UACAGAGGUGGCGAGCGUUGUUCGGAUUUACUGGGCGUAAAGGGUGCGUAGGCGGUUAUGUAUGUCGGAUGUGAAAUCUCGAGGCUCAACUUCGAAAUUGCAUCCGAAACUGCAUAACUUGAGUGCAGGAUGGGAGAGCGGAAUUCUUGGUGUAGCGGUGAAAUGCGUUGAUAUCAAGAAGAACACCGGCGGCGAAGGCGGCUCUCUGGAAUGUUACUGACGCUGAGGCACGAAAGCUGGGGGAGCAAACAGG
rnacentral:rRNA from 1 species